rnacentral:rRNA from 1 species
GACGAACGCUGGCUGCGUGCUUAACACAUGCAAGUCGAACGGAAAGGCCCUGCUUUUGUGGGGUGCUCGAGUGGCGAACGGGUGAGUAACACGUGAGUAACCUGCCCUUGACUUUGGGAUAACUUCAGGAAACUGGGGCUAAUACCGGAUAGGAGCUCCUGCUGCAUGGUGGGGGUUGGAAAGUUUCGGCGGUUGGGGAUGGACUCGCGGCUUAUCAGCUUGUUGGUGGGGUAGUGGCUUACCAAGGCUUUGACGGGUAGCCGGCCUGAGAGGGUGACCGGCCACAUUGGGACUGAGAUACGGCCCAGACUCCUACGGGAGGCAGCAGUGGGGAAUAUUGCACAAUGGGCGGAAGCCUGAUGCAGCAACGCCGCGUGCGGGAUGACGGCCUUCGGGUUGUAAACCGCUUUCGCCUGUGACGAAGCGUGAGUGACGGUAAUGGGUAAAGAAGCACCGGCUAACUACGUGCCAGCAGCCGCGGUGAUACGUAGGGUGCGAGCGUUGUCCGGAUUUAUUGGGCGUAAAGGGCUCGUAGGUGGUUGAUCGCGUCGGAAGUGUAAUCUUGGGGCUUAACCCUGAGCGUGCUUUCGAUACGGGUUGACUUGAGGAAGGUAGGGGAGAAUGGAAUUCCUGGUGGAGCGGUGGAAUGCGCAGAUAUCAGGAGGAACACCAGUGGCGAAGGCGGUUCUCUGGGCCUUUCCUGACGCUGAGGAGCGAAAGCGUGGGGAGCGAACAGGCUUAGAUACCCUGGUAGUCCACGCUGUAAACGGUGGGUACUAGGUGUGGGGUCCAUUCCACGGGUUCCGUGCCGUAGCUAACGCUUUAAGUACCCCGCCUGGGGAGUACGGCCGCAGGGCUAAAACUCAAAGGAAUUGACGGGGCCCCGCACAAGCGGCGGAGCAUGCGGAUUAAUUCGAUGCAACGCGUAGAACCUUACCUGGGUUUGACAUGGAUCGGGAGUGCUCAGAGAUGGGUGUGCCUCUUUUGGGGUCGGUUCACAGGUGGUGCAUGGCUGUCGUCAGCUCGUGUCGUGAGAUGUUGGGUUAAGUCCCGCAACGAGCGCAACCCUUGUUCACUGUUGCCAGCACGUUAUGGUGGGGACUCAGUGGAGACCGCCGGGGUCAACUCGGAGGAAGGUGGGGAUGACGUCAAGUCAUCAUGCCCCUUAUGUCCAGGGCUUCACGCAUGCUACAAUGGCUGGUACAGAGAGUGGCGAGCCUGUGAGGGUGAGCGAAUCUCGGAAAGCCGGUCUCAGUUCGGAUUGGGGUCUGCAACUCGACCUCAUGAAGUCGGAGUCGCUAGUAAUCGCAGAUCAGCAACGCUGCGGUGAAUACGUUCCCGGG